rnacentral:lncRNA from 1 species
CAAGAAUGCAAAGUUUUUGUAAGCAUCAAUAAAGAGAGGGAAAAAGAAAAAGAGAGAGAAAAAAAUGAGUUGAGAGAAUAAAAAGAGGAAGAGAAAAAAAAUAGUGAGACUGAGAAAAAAAGUGAGAUUGAGAGGAAAGGAGAAGAAGAAGGGGUUGAGAGAAAAAAAGAACAAAAAGAAAAAAUAAAAAAAUGUGAGAAAAAUGUCUACCACCCUGAGGGAUGUUCCACAAAGGUGAUACAAACAGGCUAUUUUGAGGAAAUCUCCAAAGAAUUGGGGAUAGAAAUCCUAGUGACAGAGACUAUACAACAGAUCCCUGAAUAUGCAGAAUUUUUGAAAAGGCUCCUAAUGAAAAAGAAAAAUUUGAAGGAGGAAGCAACUGAGAUACAAGGGGAGUGCAGUGUGAUC